rnacentral:rRNA from 1 species
UACGUAGGGCGCGAGCGUUGUCCGGAAUUAUUGGGCGUAAAGAGCUCGUAGGCGGCCGGUUGCGUCUGCUGUGAAAUCCCGGGGCUUAACCCCGGGCGUGCAGUGGAUACGGGCCGGCUGGAGGCAGGCAGGGGAGAAUGGAAUUCCCGGUGUAGCGGUGAAAUGCGCAGAUAUCGGGAGGAACACCGGUGGCGAAGGCGGUUCUCUUGGCCUGUACUGACGCUGAGGAGCGAAAGCGUGGGGAGCGAACAGG